UCCCUGGUGGCUCAGAUGCUAAAGAAUCCACCUGCCAUGUAGGAGACCCAGGUUCAAUCCCUGGUUUGGGAA
rnacentral:tRNA from 1 species